UACAGAGGGUGCGAGCGUUAAUCGGAAUUACUGGGCGUAAAGCACACGUAGUCGGCUUUGCAAGUCGGGUGUGAAAUCCCCGGGCUCAACCUGGGAACUGCAUCCGAGACUGCAUUGCUAGAGUAUGGGAGAGGGAAGCGGAAUUUCUGGUGUAGCAGUGAAAUGCGUAGAUAUCAGAAGGAACAUCAGUGGCGAAGGCGGCUUCCUGGACCAAUACUGACGAUCAGGUGCGAAAGCGUGGGGAGCAAACAGG
rnacentral:rRNA from 1 species